ensembl:lncRNA
CUCUCGAGCAGUUGUCUUGCCUGACCUGGGCUUGUCAAAAACGUCUCCAGUGUAUUCAAAUAUUUUUUUUUUAUCCUCUGUACUUGACGCUGAGACACAUUGAAGGAGUCUGCAACAUCAGCAGUGGAUCUGAUCUUCAGCCUCUUGAUAAUCAAAACUUUGGUCUCAGGGUGAAUCUUAGGCAUGUUUGCAGAGGUCUAGUUGCAGUUGAUGUGAAGGUCUAGUGUACUGGGGUUGUUUUUAUACACACCUGAGACCUAAUUGAUCCAUUAUUAGUCACAGGUGAAGCUCAUAUGACAAGGCGACAACACUUAUGUCUUUGCAAAAAUUGACUCAAUGGGCUUUACCAAGCUGUGAGGAUUAGAAUACUUUUUGACAGUUUCGUUUUGCACUGAAACAUUAUUACGAAAGCUGUUUGGAUUACAAUGAGCCAUUUCUUGUAAAGACAUCUUGAUUAGAAAUAUAUUUCAGCGGCACUUCAGGUCAAUUUGUACACAAGCGACAAGACUUUUGUCAGGGACUGUAGACCCUUUGUUAGAUUUUCACAUUUCUGUUUCCUCUUUCUCAGAACCAGGUUUCUCCCCAGUAAUCCAGACUCCACUUCACAGAGCCAAGAGUUUGAGUACAACUCGUCAAGUGCUAAGCUUUACACCCCCAGCAAAUUUACCCUGGCAGCAUAUGGGUGAACAUGCUGGAGGAAAAAGUAAUCGCUCUGUUAUUGGCCCUGGGACUCUCCUGGCAUCUUGUGUACAGCAUGAAGUUUUCAGCUAUGAAGGUAUAUUCUAGGCCUAUGUCUUAAUGUCCAG